rnacentral:misc_RNA from 1 species
CUGAGUUAGGGUCUUCUAGGCCCGACCUCCCAACCCUUUGUCUACCUAACCCUAGUUGCUUCGGCGGGCCCGUCCUUCGGACCGCCAGGAGACUGUACUUGUCUCCCGGCCCGCGCCCGUCGAUAGCCACCUCAAAACUCUUCGAAAUAAUUUUGUUUACGUCUGAGUAUUUUUAUUUAAUAAAGCAAA